GACGAACGCUGGCGGCGUGCCUAAUACAUGCAAGUAGAACGCUGAAGAGAGGAGCUUGCUCUUCUUGGAUGAGUUGCGAACGGGUGAGUAACGCGUAGGUAACCUGCCUUGUAGCGGGGGAUAACUAUUGGAAACGAUAGCUAAUACCGCAUAACAAUGGAUGACACAUGUCAUUUAUUUGAAAGGGGCAAUUGCUCCACUACAAGAUGGACCUGCGUUGUAUUAGCUAGUAGGUGAGGUAACGGCUCACCUAGGCGACGAUACAUAGCCGACCUGAGAGGGUGAUCGGCCACACUGGGACUGAGACACGGCCCAGACUCCUACGGGAGGCAGCAGUAGGGAAUCUUCGGCAAUGGGGGCAACCCUGACCGAGCAACGCCGCGGGAGUGAAGAAGGUUUUCGGAUCGUAAAGCUCUGUUGUAAGUCAAGAACGAGUGUGAGAGUGGAAAGUUCACACUGUGACGGUAGCUUACCAGAAAGGGACGGCUAACUACGUG
rnacentral:rRNA from 1 species